rnacentral:rRNA from 1 species
AGAGUUUGAUCAUGGCUCAGGAUGAACGCUGGCGGUAGGUCUGACACAUGCAAGUCGAACGGUAAGGGUGGCUUCGGCCGCCCCUAGAGUGGCGAACGGCUGAGUAACACGUAGGAACCUACCCCCCGGUUCGGGACAACAAGCCGAAAGGCUUGCUAAUACCGGAUAUAUUCUUCGGAAGGAAAGGCUUGCUGCCGGGGGAGGGGCCUGCGGCCUAUUAGCUUGUUGGUGAGGUAACGGCUCACCAAGGCUAUGAUGGGUAGCUGGUCUGAGAGGACGAUCAGCCAGACUGGGACUGAGACACGGCCCAGACUCCUACGGGAGGCAGCAGUUCAGAAUCUUGCCCAAUGGACGAAAGUCUGAGGCAGCCAUACCGCGUGUGCGAAGAAGGCCUUCGGGUCGUAAAGCACUGUCAGAGGGGAAGAUUAUGACGGUACCCUCAAAGGAAGCCACGGCUAACUACGUGCCAGCAGCCGCGGUAAUACGUAGGUGGCGAGCGUUAUCCGGAAUCACUGGGCGUAAAGCGUUCGUAGGCGGCAAGGUAAGCCAGAUUUGAAAUCCCGGGGCUCAACUCCGGACCCGGAUCUGGAACUACCCUGCUUGAGCAGAUCAGAGGGCAGUGGAAUUCCCGGUGUAGCGGUAAUAUGCGUAGAUAUCGGGAGGAACACCAGUGGCGAAGGCGACUGCCUGGGGUCUUGCUGACGCUGAGGAACGAAAGCGUGGGGAGCAAACAGGAUUAGAUACCCUAGUAGUCC